GCUUUGCCUUUGACACCCAACCCCUCAAAACCCCUUCUCCGACCCUCUCCUUCAAUGGCGCUUCCAAACUAGGCCCAACAAAAUCCUUCAUUUCUCAAAUUCGCCCGUCGAUUUCCCCAAUUUCUCCACGUACAAUGUUGAAGCUCCUUUCCUCCUGUUCAGCGCGCCAAAUCCAUAACCACCUAGCCUCUCCGUGCCUCCGAGUGACGACCCAGUCGUCCACAAAUUCGUUGCUCAAAGCGCUCGGUUCCAUCACUGGAUUGACUCGUAGGACAUCCGGAAACCGUACCUAUUAUCAAAGGGCCUUUUUUUGCUCGGGUUCUUCCAGCGAUGGGACUGCCGAGGUGGUAGAGGUGGAGUUGAAGAGUGGAGAAUCGGGGGCUGACAGUACUGACGCUAGCAAUGCAAUUGUACCCACGAGUCCUAGGCCGGAGGAUUAUCUCACGGUGUUAGCGUUACCCUUGCCACAUAGACCUCUGUUUCCUGGUUUCUACAUGCCAAUUUAUGUCAAGGAUCCUAAAUUAUUGGCAGCUUUACAAGAAAGCAGAAAAAGGCAAGCUCCAUAUGCUGGUGCUUUUCUUCUUAAAGAUGAGCCAGUGACUGAUCCCAGCAUGGUAACUGGUUCUGAAUCAGAGAAAAACACGUAUGACCUUAAGGGAAAAGAUUUGUUUAAUCGUCUCCAUGAAGUUGGCACACUUGCCCAGAUUACAAGCAUCCAGGGAGACCAGGUCAUCCUUAUAGGUCACAGGCGACUUAAAAUAACAGAGAUGGUUAGUGAGGAUCCACUUACUGUCAAAGUUGAUCAUCUCAAGGAAAAACCAUAUAACAAGGACGAUGAUGUCAUAAAGGCAACAUCAUUUGAGGUUAUUUCAACCCUGAGAGAUGUUCUGAAGAUAAGUUCCCUUUGGAGAGAUCAUGUUCAAACUUAUACUCAGCAUAUAGGUGACUUCAAUUUUCCAAGGUUAGCUGAUUUUGGGGCUGCAAUAUCUGGUGCAAACAAAUUGCAGUGCCAGGAAGUGCUUGAGGAGCUGGAUGUGUACAAACGUUUGAAACUCACACUGGAGUUGGUGAAGAAAGAAGUAGAAAUCAGCAAGAUUCAGGAAUCAAUUGCAAAAGCAAUUGAAGAAAAGAUAAGUGGUGAACAGCGUCGCUAUUUGUUGAAUGAACAGCUUAAGGCCAUAAAGAAGGAACUGGGAUUGGAAACAGAUGACAAAACUGCACUCUCUGCAAAGUUUAGGGAAAGGCUUGAACCAAAUAAAGAAAAAAUUCCGGCUGAUGUUUUGCAAGUAAUAGAAGAAGAGCUUACAAAACUGCAGCUUUUAGAGGCCAGUUCAAGUGAAUUUAAUGUUACUCGUAAUUAUCUGGAUUGGUUGACUGCAUUGCCUUGGGGUAAUUAUAGUGAUGAGAAUUUUGAUGUCCUUCGAGCACAAAAAAUUCUUGAUGAAGAUCAUUAUGGACUAACUGAUGUUAAGGAAAGGAUAUUGGAGUUCAUUGCUGUUGGAAAACUCAGAGGAAUCUCUCAAGGUUAGUUUACAUUCAUUGUCUUUUGUAUGUGUUUCCAAAUCUGAAAAAGAUUUCCACUAAUUAAAAUUUAUUGUUUUUUCUUUUCAUCUGUGUAUUUCUGUUCCAUUCAUCUCUGAUAUGUCUGCUAGUUAGAGCAGCAGUAGUAUGUAAUUUCUAAUUUCUUGCAAAUACAUCUCAGGAAAAAUCAUCUGUCUAUCUGGUCCACCAGGAGUGGGCAAAACUAGCAUUGGCCGUUCAAUUGCACGUGCUUUGAAUCGGAAGUUCUUUCGAUUCUCUGUAGGAGGGUUAUCUGAUGUUGCUGAAAUCAAGGGGCAUCGUCGAACCUAUAUUGGUGCAAUGCCAGGAAAGAUGGUGCAAUGUCUGAAAAAUGUAGGAACUGCUAACCCUCUUGUUCUGAUUGACGAGAUUGACAAGUUGGGAAGAGGACAUACUGGUGAUCCAGCAAGUGCUUUAUUGGAGCUUCUUGAUCCAGAGCAAAAUGCUAAUUUUCUGGACCACUACCUUGAUGUUCCAAUUGACCUAUCAAAGGUUCUAUUUGUAUGCACAGCAAAUGUUGUGGACAUGAUACCUAAUCCUCUGUUGGACAGAAUGGAGGUAAUUGCUAUUGCUGGGUAUAUUACUGAUGAGAAAAUGCACAUUGCCAGAGAUUAUUUAGAGAAGUCUACACUGGAAGCUUGUGGCAUCAAGCCUGGACAGGUUGAAUUGACAGAUGCUGCUCUUCUUGCGCUGAUAGAGAAUUACUGCCGAGAAGCAGGGGUUCGGAAUCUUCAAAAGCACAUAGAAAAGAUUUAUCGCAAGAUUGCACUGAAACUUGUGCGUCAAGGAGAAUUGAGCGAAUCUGAUGUUUCUGGAGAAACAAAAAAAGCAAAAGCAGAAUCUGUUCGAAGCUCUUCAGAAUCAGUAGAGGGUAGCAGUAAUAAACAAAAUAAUGAAACAUCUGUAGAAGCUGAGACUGUGACAAUUGAUCAGCCAUCUGAUCAAAUUCAGGGUCCUGUAGAUCAACCUGCUGAUUCAAAGGAAGCAACUGAAACUGAAAAAAUUGAAGAAAGUGAAGUAACUAGGGCAGUUAAGAAGGUGUUGGUUGACACAUCUAACCUAGCUGAUUUUGUUGGCAAACCUGUUUUCCAUGCUGAGCGCAUCUAUGAACAGACUCCAGUUGGAGUUGUGAUGGGUCUUGCAUGGACUGCAAUGGGUGGUUCUACAUUGUAUAUAGAGACCACUCAGGUUGAGCAAGGAGAGGGGAAAGGGGCUCUUCAACUUACUGGUCAACUUGGAGAUGUUAUGAAAGAAAGUGCCCAAAUUGCUCACACAGUUGCCAGAGCUAUAUUGGUUGGGAAAGAGCCAGAUAACCCCUUCUUUGCUAAUUCCAAGCUUCAUCUCCAUGUUCCAGCAGGGGCCACCCCCAAGGAUGGGCCUAGUGCUGGUUGCACCAUGAUCACAUCCUUGCUUUCCCUUGCCAUGAAGAAGACUGUCAGGAGAGAUCUAGCAAUGACUGGGGAAGUUACACUAACAGGGAAAAUUCUUCCCAUUGGCGGGGUUAAGGAGAAAACAAUAGCAGCAAGGAGGAGUGAAGUGAAGACUAUCAUAUUCCCAUCAGCUAACAGAAGGGAUUUUGAUGAGCUUGCACCUAAUGUGAAAGAGGGCCUAGAUGUCCACUUUGUAGAUGACUAUAGCCAGGUAUUUGAUUUGGCCUUUGGAUAUGACCAGAAUGGGGAAAAAUAAACACACAUAGGUACUCCAUUCUCGUGAUUAUUUUUCAGGGUUCCUCCAUGAAGUGCAUUUGUUCAUUUUGGCCAUAUCCUGGAACCAAACCCAGUUUUGUACCGUGGUGAUUAUAUUUUUCAUGGGAAUGGUCUCAGAACAAAAUACAUCUGAGAUUUUUCAUCUUAUGGACGGGAAAUGAUUUGCCAUUGUUUUAUUCUCAUGUUUUAGUUGAUGUAAAACAAAACCACCCAUUAAUAAUAAUUGUAAUUUAAAUUGCUGAAAGGGCUGGUUUGUAAUUUUUAGGACUGAUAUUACUUGUUUUGUAAGCCAUAGUUUAACAUUAUAAAUGAAAGUUUGUUUGAAUAAUCCAAUGGAUCUUCGUCUUCUUCUUGGGUGGAAAACGAGGAAAUUUU
rnacentral:misc_RNA from 1 species